UUGUUGUUAGUGGAGAUCUGCAAAAACCAAGUCCUGUGUGUCUGGUUUUUUCUUUCUGUGGUGGUAAAUCAUGGCAGAUCCAACAAAGGGGAAAUCAGGGGAUACUAGUGUGGAUAAGUUGUAUGAAAUUUUAAGCAAAGUAUUUGAACAGCAACAGCAACAACUCAAAGUGGUUCCUGAAGCUGUCAAGUAUGCACUUGAGCCUAAUCCAGUGAAGUUGGCUGGACCGGGCAAUUACAUCAGCUGGGCAUGGCAUGCCCAGUUAAUUCUGAGUUCUCAUGGCUAUGAAGAAUUGCUUAGUGCCGAUGAAGAGAAACUGAAAAGUGGUACUAUCACUAAACAGAUCAAUGAUAGAGUUUUGGUAUGGUUAUUAGGAAGCAUGGAACCACCGAUACGAGAACAAGUUGAGACUUUGACCACUGUAUUUGAAGUGUGGAAAGCUUUGGAGAAGCAAUUUUCAGGAAAAUCAAAUAAGAUGCAGGCUACUCGCAUCAUGCACGAGUUGACUAACUUGAAGCAAGGCUCAAAAUCAGUGACUGAGUAUGCAGGUGAGAUGAAGAGAUUGUAUAGGGAGUUGCAUUAUUACCAUCCUUUUCAACCCGUUGACAAGAAUGAUGUGGCUGUUCACCAUACCUGGUUUGAACCAUUUGUGGGCAAGCUCUUUCUUGAUGGCCUAAAUCAGGAGUUUGAUCUCCGCCGCCAGCUAAUAUUCUCCAAAACUGAAUGGCUAAGCCUUGAUGAUAUCAUUUCCAGUGUGAUUGAGGAGGAGACUCGUCUUGCUCAACCCAAUGAGCAUGUUCAAGAAAAAUCAGAUGCACGUGCAGCCCUAUCCAUACAAGCUCGUCGUGCUCCUAAGACCUUUGCUAAAAUAGAUAAAAGCAAACUUUUUUGCAACCACUGCAAAAGGCCUGGACAAACAAAGGAUUCAUGCUUUGAGCUGCAUGGUUAUCCAACUUGGUGGGAAAAAGGAAAAUCUCAGCCAGGGGGAGGUCAAGGAGCUCAUAAAAGACAUGCGAAUCUCACUACAUCCAAGAGGGAGCUACCGGUAGUAGAUGUGCGAGCUCUUGAGGAUUUCACCUCCAAGAUUAGACUCUCAGAAGACUUGUCUUCCUUCCAGGAUUCCUCUAAAGCUGAAACUAGUUUGCAUGCCACUUCACUCCAAGGUAUAACACCUCACAAGACCCACAAUUCUACAAUGCAAUCAAAAUCUUGGAUUAUUGAUACAGGAGCUACCAAUCACAUGACAGGAGCUUCAAAUAUAUUCACUUCCUAUACACCUUGUUCAGGUAAGGACAAAGUACGUGUAGCUGAUGGAUCCAUGGCACCUAUCACAGGACGUGGAUCUGUUAGGUGCACUAAGACAUUGUCCUUACCUCAUGUCUUACAUGUUCCUAAAUUUCCAGUCAAUCUCUUGUCAGUUAGCUCUAUUACUGAAUCUCUCAAUUGUAGAGGUUUGUUUUAUCCUACCUGGUGUGCUUUUCAGGAGCUAGAGACAUGGAGACUGUUGGGGACUGGGACCGUGCAUGAUGGACUCUACUAUCUUGAUGAAGGGAGUGAUGAAGUUGCUUUUGCAUCAUGCUUGUCUCCUAAUCAAGAACUACUACUACACCAUCGCAGGCUUGGGCAUCUCUCUUUUGCCGCAUUGUUUCGUAUUUACCCCUCUCUUUUCAAGUUGUGCCCUAGGGAAUUGCUUGUAUGUGAUGCUUGUGAAUUGGCUAAACAUACAAGAGGUUCAUAUCCUAGUAUAGGAUUAAGAAGUGCCAAACCAUUUGAAAUAAUUCACUCAGAUGUUUGGGGACCCUGUGAGGUUCGUUCGAUUUCUGGGCAUCGAUGGUUUGUAACUUUUAUCGAUUGCUUUAGUCGUUACACUUGGCUCUAUCUCUUGAAGCAUAAGAGUGAUGUGUGCUCAGUUUUUAAAGAUCUAUAUGCUCUCAUUAAAAAUCAACAUGGGGCAACUAUUAAAACAUUACGUUCAGACAAUGGUACAGAAUACAUGAACCAGGAGUUUGAACAGUUCCUUGUCUCAAACGGCAUUGAACAUCAAACUACCUGUGUUAACACUCCAGAACAAAAUGGUGUUGCAGAGCGUAAAAAUAGACAUUUUCUUGAGGUUGCACGCUCACUUAUGUUUACAAUGAACCUGCCUAAAUUUCUUUGGGGGGAAGCAAUAAAAACUGCAACAUAUUUGAUAAACUGUAUGCCUCUUCGGGUUCUUGGCCAUAAGACUCCUGCUGAGUGUCUGAUUUUGUAGUUCCUCCAAAGGUCUUUGGGUGUGUUUGCUUUGUGCAUGAUUAUAGGAACUCUGUUGGAAAAUUAGAUCCCCGUGCUCUCAAAUGUGUUUUCAUGGGUUAUUCUCCCUCUCAAAAGGGUUAUAGGUGUUGGUGCCCUUCGGAGCACCGUUUUUUUGUGAGCAUGGAUGUGACAUUCCGUGAACAUGAAUCAUAUUAUGGCUUAACCAGUGACACUGGCAUUGCCCUAUCUCCACCUGAAGUGCAACAAGAAGGGGAGGGGGAUAAUGAAGGCUCUCCAUUAAGCCCUAUUCUUGUUUCCACUUCGGAUGGUUUACCUACUCUAGAUAAUGCUCAAAAUCAGGGGGAGGACACAAAUAGUGAUGGGUGUAAUCAUGGUUCUGGUCAUGGAGACAUACAAGAUGCAACAGGAAACUCUUCACUUCCUUCACAAGAUGGUGAGCUUCACAGGCAUGAGGACCCAGGUACUAACAAUAAUCCCUCUAGUCUAGUCGCUCCUAUUAGCACCACAAGGCAGAGUGAUAACCAAUUAUCUAUCCUUGCUCCUGAAAAUGACCUGCCUAUUGCUGUGAGGAAACCUACUAGAAAUCGAAAUAUUCCAGGACACCUCAAGGAUUUUAAACAUGAUAUAGCCAAUUUCAUUUCCUAUAAAUAUUGUACUCCACCCUUCAAAAGCUUUAUUGCAUCUUUAGAUUCUAUCUCCAUACCAUCAAACUGGAAAAUAGCUAUAGAGGACCCAAAUUGGAAGGAAGCAAUGCUUGAUGAGAUGAAAGCCUUGGAGAAGAAUGAGACUUGGGAGCUUGUGGAUCUACCACCAGGUAAGCAACCUGUAGGUUGUAAGUGGGUCUUCACUAUUAAACACACCCCUGAGGGCAAGGUGGAGAGGUACAAAGCCCGCCUUGUAGCAAAAGGCUACAUGCAAACAUAUGGAAUCGAUUAUGAAGAGACCUUUGCACCGGUGGCAAAGAUGAAUUCAGUAAGGACACUUAUAUCAUGUGCUGUAAACCUUGAUUGGGAUAUUUACCAGAUGGAUGUGAAGAAUGCUUCCUUCAUGGUGAUCUCCAAGAAGAAGUAUACAUGCAUAUACCACCUGGAUUUGAGUCAAGUCAAACUGUUGGAAAGGUAUUGCGCCUACAUCGUUCUUUAUAUGGCUUAAAGCAAUCACCACGUGCUUGGUUUGAUCGGUUUAGACAUGCUAUGCUAAAGAGGGGUUAUCUUCAAAGUAAUGCUGACCAUACGCUAUUUUACAAGCAUACUAAUGGCAAGGUUGCAAUCUUGAUAGUGUAUGUCGAUGACAUUGUGAUUACUGGAGAUGAUUCCAAGGAAGUUGCAGAUCUGAAGUGUCAUCUUGCACAUGAGUUUGAAGUGAAGGACUUGGGACAACUAAGAUAUUUUCUUGGUAUAGAGGUCUCACGAGGGUCAAAAGGUAUUUUUCUCUCACAGCGAAAAUAUAUCUUGGAUCUGCUCAAGGAAACAGGUAUGCUUGGUUGUCGACCUGCUGCUACACCUAUUGAGCAAAAUCAUCGGUUAUGUAGUGAUGCUGGUACACCAGUGGAUCGAGAACGCUACCAGAGACUAGUUGGAAGGUUAAUAUAUUUAUCUCAUACCCGUCCAGAUAUUGCCUUUGCUGUGAGUGUAGUUAGCCAAUACAUGCAUGACCCAAAAUCAGUUCAUAUGGAAGCUGUAAAUAGGAUCCUACGGUAUCUUAAAGGGUGCCCAGGAAAAGGCCUCUUAUAUACCAAACAAGGGGACUUGCAAGUUGAGUGCUACACUGAUGCUGAUUGGGCUGGUUCCCUAGAUGACAGGCGCUCAACAUCUGGUUACUGUACAUUUAUUGGAGGAAACCUAGUUUCAUGGCGAAGUAAGAAACAAAGUGUGGUGGCUCGGUCUACUACAGAGGCCGAGUUUAGGUCUAUGGCUCACGGCAUAUGUGAGUUAUUAUGGUUGCAGAUUCUCCUAACAGAGCUGCGGCUGUAUAAGUACAAACCUUUGAUGUUGUACUGUGACAACAAAGCUGCUAUUGACAUUGCAAAUAACCCCGUUCAACAUGACCGAACCAAGCACAUAGAAAUUGAUCGUCAUUUCAUCAAGGAGAAGCUUGAUAGAGGGAUAAUUUGCCUACCAUAUGUAACUUCAGCAAGUCAAGUAGCAGAUGUACUUACAAAAGGACUCCCAGAAAAGACUUUUUCCAUGUUUUGUAGCAAGAUGGGUUUGUACGACAUAUUCACCCCAUCUUGAGGGGGAGUGUUGGUGUGUAGAUAAUGUAAUUAGGUGAGUCUAUAGGGUCUAAAAUGUAAAUUGUACAAAGAAUAUAUAAAUCAGCAGAGAGAAUGGAUCGGUGAGGAACGAUCCAGAAAUUCCCCAAAUGCUCUUCACACUCCCUCCAAUCCCUAGCUCAAAUCCCUCAAAUCUCAGAUGAUUUUCAACAGAGAUUUAUAGCGCCGGUUGAUUAGCUUCUUUGGGGUGGGGCUGGCACUAGAUUACAUACAGAGAGGAAUUAACAAUGGACUAUAGGCGUCCUGUGGCUUGCUGCGAAAUUGGGAACAUGAUUAGAGACCCCGGAUGUAUAUAUAGAAGUCCUACAUAUACGCCAUUGUCUUAGGAUGUCAAAGUGUGUGUGGUAUGAUUACAACUUUGCUUCUCUCCCUAUCCAGCUCCGGACUAUCUAAAAUAUUGGAGGAGAACAAAUACAUAUAUCCUACCCUGCCUAAUCCCUUUCCUCGUCUUGCUCCUCACGGACGACAUAAUCUCGCAACCAAGUCCCUUCCAAUUUACAACAAGCACCCUCAAGUCUUCGUUUCCUUACAAACAAGGUCAAAAUUUUGACAGUCGGGCCAAACAUCACCGGAAAUUUUGGCAGCAUAACGCGUCGGUUUUUGGGAACAAAGAAUCGGAACAUGCAUGCAUGCAUGCACAAAUGGCACCACAAAUCGCCCCACGACCAACCACGUGCGCCAAGGCAGUGUUCUUUGUUUAGCUCACAACCACAUAGAUUAAAUGUGCCGCCGCGCUGAUUGCUGGCACUAGAUUAGGUACAGACAGGAAUUAACAAUGGACUAUAGGCGUCCUGUUUCUUUACAGAACAACCUCAUGUAGUCAGUUGGUCAGUCAGUGCUCUGCUUCUAUAGCCCUGUUUCCACCCUAUUCCUGAACCAGCGUUUAAGUUAGAUCAGAGGGUUAAAAAUUUCAGUGAUUUUUUUAAAUUUUGCAUAAUUCAGUGGGGUUCCAAAUAUUUUUAAACUUGAAAUUUCGAGGCAGAUUCAAAAUGAUUUCAAAUAAAUUUAAAUUGUUUUAGAAUUCAUCAAAAUUAAGUGUAAUUUGAAAUAUCCAAAUCCGAAAUAAUUUCUUAAAUAUAUCAAAGCACCUUUUCUAGUCUGUUUAGGUAUCAUCUUCUGUAGAGUAGAACACAAUGCAUGCAUUUGGAUACUGUUUAUAGCUAACUAGCAUGGCAGACUGGAUUAAUCAUGUUAUUAGUGUCAACGAUAUCUGAAAUACACUUGUUCCGUUUGGGGUGUGGAUUGUUUGUCCUUAUGAUGCAGGAGGAAAUUGCAAUUGCUUCCAGUUAUCUUGUUCAGACUGUUUUUAUCGGAGGAAAACAGGACGAAUUAAUACCACAUGGAAAGGGAAAAUGUGUUUGCUUCAAACUGUCUUGUUCAGAUAAUUUUUAUAGAAGGAAAACAUGACUAAUUAAUAAAGCAUGAAAAAAAAGAAAAAAAAGUAAUGUGGGUGUAUUAUCAUUCCUCAAAUUUGUACUAGUUGGGAUACAAGUUGGCGCCAAAAGUGAUCCAUGAGGGGCUCUCGCAGGUUGUAAUCCUAAUUAGUUGCUCUCCCAUUAAAUGCAUUCAGCCUUCUCAAGAAGCCCCAGUAAUCAUGGGCCCAUGAAAAGGAUAUUCAUGGAAGAUAAGGACAAGAGGUCCUAUCUGGCGCUUUGGGUGUCGCGAAGAUCUACAUCGCUUGCACACAAGGCACAGUGAGGCAGAACCAUUAGCGCCAUUGUUCCCCUCAGCUGCUUCUCUCGCUAGCUCGUUCCCCGUUCUAUCUCUUGCUCGUUGGUUAGCAGAAAGAACCAGUAGUUACAGGUUCAUGAAGAAAAUGACUUCUGAUUUUUUUACAUGAUAGCUUAUUUUUUUGUUACAUUCAAAAGAAUAUACAAAUUCUAAAAAAAUUAUGAAUUUGUUCAAAAUUUUAAAAAAUGCUCAUGAACUUGAAAAAUGUGGAAAUAUAUUGAGAAUGUCUAUGAUCUAAAAAAAUUAUGGAUUUGAAAAGUGUUCAAAAUAUUUGAAAAUGUCCACAAAUGUUGCAUGAAUUCGAAAAAAAAUUCAAAAUAUUGCUCAUAAUUUUUUUAAACAAUGAAAAGAGUAAAAGAAAGAAAAAAAUAGAAAACAAAAAAUAUUGUAUCGGAAAACCCCCGACAGAAAGCUCCGGUGUGCACUAUGUACAAAAGGGUGAUUUUUUCUAUUAAGAGAAAAACAUGAAUGAAUACAAAGUGCAGUUUAGAGCAAGUAAGCCCAACAUAAUAAGUGUCAUGUGCCUCUCUAUUUGCCGAGGCCCCGAAUCAUUAGACCAGCCCAGCCCAACUUGCCCACACUUUGCCGUAGAUUCUUUUCAAAAUGUUUUAUCUUUUGAGCCGUGCAUCCAAACCCCAAACCGUUUUCACCGUUGGGUUCCCCGCGUCGAGAUCUUUGAAACCAGAUCUUUCAUAGGUUUGAAACAUGGCGGUGGCUGAGAGCAUGUCAAGUGACGCACGGUUAGCGCAUCCGAAGUGACCUUUGAGGGGCUCCCUCAAUUUGCACGCCUAGUUAGUCGCUCUCCCAUUACAUGCAUCCAGCCUUCUCGGGAAGACCCAGUAAUUCUGGGCCUAUGAAAAGGGAAUUCAUGAAAGAUAAGGACAGGAGCUCCUAUCUAUCUGGCACUUCAGACGUUGCGAAGAUCAACAUCGCUUGCGUGGAAGGCACGGUGACCCAUGGCCAAUUAGCGCGCUUGCUCCCCUCAGCUGCUUCACUCGCUAGCCCGGUCACCGUUCUGUCGCUUACUCAUUGUCUAGUAAAAAGAACCAGUAGCUAGAGGUUCAUGAAGAAAAUGACUUUUGAUGUUUAUAGAUUUUUUUGACAUGAUAGAUCAUUUUUGUUACAUUCAAAAAAGUUUACGAAUUUUAAAAGGAUUAUGAAUUUGUUCACAAAUUUGAAAAAAUGUUCAUAGAUUUAAAAAAUGCUCAUGAACUUGAAAAAUUGUUGUCAUAUUUUGAAAAUGUUUAUGGAUUUAAAAAUGUUCAAAAUAUUGCACGGUUCACAAUUUAAAUGUUGCAUUAAUUGGAAAAGGUUAAAAAAUGUUCAUUAGUUUUUUAAACGAUGAAAAACUAAAAGAAAGAAAAAAAACGAAAACAGAACAUUGAACCACAAUACCUGACGGAAAGCUUCUAGAAAGCUCCAAAAACAUGUUUCCACACGAAUGUGGUAUUAGGCAAGCACGUUUACUUCACUCGCUCGCUACAGUGUGUGAUAUGUUCAAAAACACUACCAUUUGGCACCUUAAGCACCUGAUAAUUUUGCUCACACCAUUCUCUCCUUCAUUAAUUUCUGCAGUUCACCUGUGUUGGAGGAGUUUCUUUCGAGAGUUCCAAUGGCAGAGCUGGUGGCCGCCAUGGCCAUCCGGCCACUGGUGUCCAUCCUAAUGAGCAAGGCAUCCAGCUCACUCCUGGAUGAGUACAAGGUGAUGGAGGGAAUGGAGGAGGAGCACAAGGUUCUCAAGCGCAAGCUUCCAGUCAUCCUUGACGUCAUGAAUGACGCCGAGGGGCAGGCAAAGGAGCAUAGAGAUGGUGCCAAAGCCUGGCUCCAGGAGCUCAAGACUGUGGCCUAUGAGGCAAAUGAAGUCUUCGAUGAAUUCAAGUACGAAGCACUCCGCCGUGAAGCCAAGAAGAAGGGGCACUACAGAGAGCUUGGCUUCGAUGUAAUAAAGCUAUUCCCUACUCACAACCGUAUUGUUUUCUAUUACAAAAUGGGCCGCAAGCUUUGCUGGAUUCUGAAGGCCAUUGAUGUACUUAUAGCGGAGAUGCAUGCCUUUAGGUUCAAGUACUGACCACAGCCGCCAGUGCCCAAGCAGUGGAGGCAGACGGAUUCUGUUAUCACCGACCUGCAAGACAUUGCGAGCAUAUCCAGAGACAAGGAUAAGAAGAAUAUUGUUGCUACACUACUUGGUCAAGCUAACAAUGCAGAUUUCACAAUUGUUCUCAUUGUUGGAAUGGGGGGAAUGGGGGGCCUUGGCAAGACCACAUUAGCGCAGCUCAUAUACAAUGAUCCUGAAAUUCAGAAGCAUUUCCCGUUGCUGCUUGAUAACCCACAAGUAUAGGGGAUCGCAACAGUUUUCGAGGGUAAAGUAUUCAACCCAAAUUUAUUGAUUCGACACAAGGGGAGCCAAAGAAUAUUCUCAAGUAUUAGAAGUUGAGUUGUCAAUUCAACCACACCUGGAUAGCUUAAUAUCUGCAGCAAAUUAUUUAGUAGCAAAGUAGUAUGAAAGUAAUGGUAACAUCGAUAAAAGUAGCAGUAGUAGUUUUGUAGAAAUUGUAACAGUGGCAACGGUAAAGUAACUAAGCAAAGAGCAAUAUGUGAAAAGCUCGUAGGCAUUAGAUCAGUGAUGGAUAAUUAUGUCGGAUGCGAUUCCUCAUGUAAUAGUUAUAACACGGGAUGACACAAAACUAGCUCCAAUUCAUCAAUGUAAUGUAGGCAUGUAUUCCAAAUAUAGUCAUACGUGCUUAUGGAAAAGAACUUGCAUGACAUCUUUUGUCCUACCCUCCCGUGGUAGCAAGGUCCUAAUGAAAACUAAGGGAUUUUAAGGCCUCCUUUUAAUAGAGUACCGGACCAAAGCAUUAACACAUAGUGAAUACAUGAACUCCUCAAACUACGGUCAUCACCGAGAAGUAUUCCGAUUAUUGUCACUUCGGGGUUGUCGGAUCAUAACACAUAAUAGGUGACUAUAGACUUGCAAGAUAGGACCAAGAACUCACAUAUAUUCAUGAAAACAUAAUAAGUUCAGAUCUGAAAUCAUGACACUCGGGCCCUAGUGAUAAGCAUUAAGCAUAGCAGUCAUAGCAACAUCAAUCUCAAAACACAGUGGAUACUAGGGACUAAACCCUAACAAAACUAACUCGAUUACAUGGUAAAUCUCAUCCAACCCAUCACCAUCCAACAAGCCUACGAUGGAAUCUCACGCAUGGCGGUGAGCAUCAUGAAAUUGGUGAUGGAGGAUGGUUGAUGAUGACGACGGCGACGAAUCCCCCUCAUCGGAGCCCCGAACGGGCUCCAGAUGAGCCCUCCCGUCAGAGAUUAGGGCUUGCCGGCGGCUCCGUAUCUUAAAACACGAUGAAUCUUUCUCCCUGCUUUUUUUCUCCGCGAAAGCAAAUAUAUGGAGUUGGAGUUGAGGUCGGUGGACAUCCGGGGGCCCACGAGGCAGGGGGCGCGCCCCCCACCCUCGUGGACAGGGUGUGGGCCCCCUGGCCUUGAUUCUUUCGCCAGUAUUUUUUAUUAAUUCCAAAAAUAAUCUCCGAGGAGUUUCAGGUCAUUCCGAGAACUUUCGUUUCUGCACAAAAAUAACACCAUGGCAAUUCUGCUGAAAGCAGCGUCAGUCCGGAUUAGUUCCAUUCAAAUCAUGCAAGUUGGAGUCUAAAACAAGGGCAAAAGUGUAAAGUAGAUACGACGGAGACGUAUCACUGCUCUGGGUCUGUGUCUCUAAUACCUUUGACGUGAACUCCCUGGCCAAGAGUAUAGUUGAAUCAUCUUCCAGGAAGAAUAUUGAUACAGACAAACCACCACUGGAUAGACUUCAAAAACUGGUCAGUGGACAACAGUAUCUCCUUGUAUUGGAUGAUGUUUGGGACAAUAAAGAGUUACGUAAGUGGGAAAGGCUGAAGGUAUGUCUUCAGCAUGGUGGCAUGGGCACUGCAGUGUUGACAACAACUCAUGAUAAACGAGUUGCUGAAAUUAUGGGUGCAGCUAGGGCAAGCCUACAAUCUCAAUGCUUUGGAGGAUCACUUCAUAAAGGAAAUUAUUGUGGAUAGAGCAUUCAGCCUGGAUAAAGAAAAGCCCGCUGAACUAGUGGAGAUAGUUGAUCAGAUUGUGGACAAAUGUCGUGGCUCUUCUUUAGCUGGAUGUGCACUGGGCUCUGUACUUCGUACCAAGACCACAGUAAAAGAAUGGAAGGCUAUAGCAUCUAGAAGCAGCAUUUGCACUGAGGAAACUGGAAUCUUGCCAAUACGCAGUGCAGGAAUGGAAGGUUAUCGCGGGGUGUCGUCAAACCAUCCAUGCAUCUCGCAAGAGGGAGUAAAGCUUGGACUUGUUGAGAAACUUUCCAGCAUUCUCUAGUUUGGAGCUUGCUGAGUAAUGGUACUCUAUUAGCUAGGGGAAUAGAUGCUGGUUUGCAAUUGCUUCUGAAACUGAACUGAACCUGCAGUUGCUCUAGAGCGAGAAUUGUUGGGGCCUUGGGUGUAGAGUGACUGCUCGGCGUUGAGUCAAGUCGAGCAUCACGGUAGGCUCCCGCUCCUGCGACCCGCUCCCACCCCCGAAACCCUCGCCGCCGCCACCUCCCAUGCCCGUCUCCAGCGGGAUCCGGCCGUCCUCGCCGGCGCGCGGCCCGGGUCCGCCCCUCACCCUCCCCGGCCCUUCCUUCCCCGCCCCUCCUUCCGCCGUCGCGCCACCUCCCCGGAAGGCGGCCGGGGCGGCCCCAGCGCCUCUUCACUCGGCUUCGCCUCCUCUUCCUCUCCCCUGCCGUCGCCGGUGGGCGCCUCCGGCUCCGGCCCGGGGGGUGCCGGCGACGGCAGGAUCUCCUCUCCCCACGCCCGUGUCCCCCUGGCCCGGGGCAGGGGGGCGGCGGCGGUGUCGCUCAGCUGGGCAGCGGUCUGGUGACCCGGCGGGGUGGCCGGCGGCGGACGUGGUGGCGGCGGGGCGGCGUGGUGGUGCGGGGUGGCCGACGUCGCGCCCCCGGCCCAGAUCUGGGCCCGGCGGGCCUCAUCUGGGUCCUAGCGGGCCGGCCCCUCGGCGUGGCCUCGUUGUCUGCGGCGCGGUGAGGAGGAGGAGCGGCUCGGAUAUGGGGCGUCGGCGCCGAUGGCAUGCCGGCAACAGCGCGAAGGCGGGAGCUUUACGGGCUCACGAGGGCUCAGCAAGGCCUGGUGUGCUCCUGCUAUUGCGUCCGGACGGCUACCGUCACUGACGGUGGAUGUGGGGCCCUCCCGCGUGCCGACGGUGCUGAUACCCUAGUCCAAGGGAAAACCCUUGGCAGCAGCAUCGUCAUCGUCGCAAUCCUUCUUGGAGGUGUUGAUAGGUGCCGGCGCUUUGGAGUCUUGGAGCCUAGUGGAAGAUCCCGGUGGGCGCAGCGAUUGCGAGGCUUCUUCGUUUUUGUUGAUCCGCCGUUAUCGGCAUUUGUUUCUGUUGCUCUUUCUCUAUCGUUUCUUUUGGGCGUGACUAUGCUGCUUCCGCCCCAGCACCUAUCUCUGUAUGGUUCGGUUGGUUGCUUUGUAUACAAAGCGGGGGAAACCCUUUUUUGGUAAGUCGAGCAUCACCGAGUCAAAUUCCAGACCGCGCCAAGAGGAUCUAAUUCGGAUUUGGUUUCCUGCUGGUCCUUUGGGUCUGCACAACAGGGUCAGUAGCAGUUUAGUCUUCAUGUUCACUGAUCACAUUUUUACUGUAACGCAAUGUAACUCUCUGUUUUUUACAUCCCAGUGAAGUGAUGGCAAGUAUAACAGAAGCUAACAUAACAUCCAUACUAAGUUCUUCUACUACAUGAAGGUUGGUUACUCUCAUACAGAACUAGCCUGUUUGCAAAUGCUAGUUCAAUCACUCGCUCAUUUAUGAACUUCUCUCCAUUCUUUUGGCGUGAGUUCCCUCCAACCACUCUUUUUCUUGUGUUUUUGGCAAGAGAUUGGAAACUAAGCAUGCAAGUAGACUAGUCAUAUCAUUCAACAGUCUACUCACAUGAUAGUAAUGUCCUGAUAAACGAUUUCCGAAUGGCCUUCUCAACACAUAUCCCAUGCUCACAAUAUUUUCUUUCGAAAGAAGAGCUAUCACAGAUUAGAGGUGUGUAGAAGUCCUAUAUAUACUUCUGCCUUAGGAUGUGAAAGUGAGUGUGAUAUGAAUUUAUAUUUUUCCCUUGCGUCUUUAGCUUAUUUACAUCUAAAAUAUUGGAGGGAAACAAAAAUGUGAGAGUCAAGGAGGUGAAGCGAAAAGGAGCUGAAAAUCACUAGCAUUGUCGUGUCUUACUUUGUCCACUUGAAGUCAAAUUACCACUAGGCAUGGUAUGUGGAUGUAGGAGCCACGGUGGCAAUUGUAGCUCUCGGAAGAACACCCACCAUUCAAUAAGUACGCCUUGGGGCAAAUGAUUCCAGAAGCUUUGUUUCAAGCAACAGGCUGCCAGAGGUCUAACUGUGUCUUGUAGACAUGACAAUGCCUAAAAUGAAAACUUUGAGGAAACCUAAUGGAGCGAUGCUUGUUUCAGGGGAACCAGUAGUCGGCAAGAUCCCAGUCCAGGGGAACCAGUAGUACUGGAAUACGGACGACAAUGGGGCCAAGAGUGGAAAUGUAGGAGUGAGCUAUAGGAAGAUCAUCUAGUGUCCCAUUUGUGAGAGUGUGUGUGUUUUUAAAAGGGGCAAGUGCCAUCCCUGUUAACGAAUCGAUGAAAUGAGAAUUGCCUGAACUAUCACCUACUCACCCUCUCCCUCUGUUCUUCUCAUCACCUACUCCCAAAUUACCCCGUCCGAUGUGUGAAUCUUGUACCACCACUAGCAGGAAAUGACAGUUUGACAGCGGCAAUCAUGGUAAUUUUUCUCUGUCAGCACUCGAGAACAAUUGGUGUAGGCACAAAUCUAUGACAGGACGGAUGUUUUCUACUCCCUCUGUCCCAAAAUAAGUGUCACUGAUUUAGUACAAAGUCAUACUAACUUUGUAUAAAUCAACUUAAUACAAAGUUAGUAUGACUUUGUAUUAAAUCAUCUAUAGUAUAAGAAAAACAAUUUAUUUCUAUUUCUAUAGUAUAAGAAAAACAAAUAGUAUAAGAAAAACAAAUCGAAUCAAAUUCAUGGAUUUACCACGACCUUGGUUGUGACUGUGACUCCAUAGAUAAAAAUGGGAAAUUUCUCUCUUCGAGACCAUUGAAAAGGGCAUUGAACGAGAAAGAAAUCGUCCACAGAUAAUAAAACUAUCAUAUGCCUUGGAAAGUGAUAUGAGGUGCUCGGAAAUGGUUGAAGUAAUUGAAUAGGAGGAUCACUAUGACUAUAGCCCUUGGUAGAAUUCCUAAAAAGAAAAUGAUCUAUUUGAUACUAUGGAAAAUGCUUAUACAUAGUAGUUUAGCAGUCGUGUUUGUUUGGGCACCCACGCUACUUGUAAUUACCAGUAGCGCUGGGCAGAUAGCACGCUACUGGUACGGCUUAGCAGCAGCGUGGGUUUCUUUUGGGCACGCUACUGGUAAGUGUGCCACACCACACCAGCAGAUCAACAUAUACUAGCAGCGUUGGUCGUCUACCCAGCGCGACUGUUAAGUCAAGAUCUAUAGCGCCUGUACUCAGAAACGCGCUACUAUUAUUUCUUCUAUGUGUAAACUUUUACCAGUAGCGUGUUUUUCCACCCGACGCUAUAGCUAGCAAAUCAUAGCUGUAGCGCGCAUCGGUAGCCAGCGCUAGUGCUAUGGUCCCAGUCCACUCCCACACCCCACCCACCCGAUCCAGAUCCCCUCCAUCUCCCUCCUCUGCCGGCCUCCCUUCCACCUCCUCUCCUCUCCGCUGGCGCUGGGAUCCCCUCCCCGUUCUUUUUCAUCGCUGUCGUCCCCGUCUCACCCUCUUUCCGAUCCAUGGCGUGAUCCUUCGCCGUGUACACGUCUAACAGGCCUCACGCGCGCGCAGCCUUCCUUACUAUCCGGCCGACCAGGCCCAUCGCCGUGGCCAGCCCGGGCUUCUCCCAGCCACGGCGUGGAGGUUGGGCAGCGAGGCGGCCCCGAGGGUGAGCCUAGUAGCGGCACGAACACAAGCGCCAGGGAGACAGAUGGCGGACGCAAGCGCCGGCGAGUUGGUGGCUCCGAUGCGAUGACUUCGCUAGGCCUGGGUGGCCGCUCCGGCAAGGUGGCAACUCCAGCAGGCGUCAGCUCGAGCUUGGCGCUAGCAGGCAGAAGGAUAGGUUGAGUACCGCCUGCCGACUGUUGUUUUUUCAGUUUCAGUUUUAGUAUUUUGAUUACUCAAUUUCAUGCUAUCAGUUGCUCAAUUUUAGUUGAACUGCAUUUGUUUGUAUCAUCAUAUGUUUUUAGGUGAUGCCUAUAUAUUCGUUCACGUGUAUGUGUGGUUUCUGAAUCACAUUUGCCAGUUGCCACUGGUUCUUGUGUGCACAAAUGAUCCAACUCUGCGCACACUAGUUCGUUCAUGUGUGUCUGCAACUCUGCGCUAAUCUUAACACUGAUGUGUUCAUUGCAGAUGGACAGACUGCUUCAUCAUUGGAUAAAAGUAAUAGCUCAUCCUACCGACAGGAUUAUUAUUCUCACUGUGACAACAAGAAGGUGAUAUUCGAGACCCGACCUCCCAGAGGUAUGUUCAGAUAAUAGGAGAUUUCUAUUGCAAGUGAAAACUAUGAUCAGAAUGGCUAAAGCAAAAUUUAUGAACAUAUCAUUAAGUGAAACAGAAAGAAAAUACUAUUGAUUCAUGCCUGCUGGUUCUGGUGAAAAGAAAGACGAGGGCUCAAAAUUCCUGGCCAUUUCAUUAUUUAGCCUCCUUUGGUAAAUACUAUUUAGUUGCAGAGCUCAGUGAGUGGCUGGUUUUAUGGAACUGAAUAUUUGAGCCAUAUUCUGUGAGUUUGUGGUAGUAGAGAAAUGUCAAAAAUGAGGCUGUAGAAUGUUAGGCACAUAUGAACAUUAUUUAUUAUUGAUAGAUUAUGCCAGCUUCCAUGGAAUUCCAGUUAAACUGCGUGCCAGGAGUUUUAAUACGCUAUUCUUGUAUGAUUUUUCCACUUUUCUAUGUAGUGAUCUUGCAUGUAACACCUGUCCAUUGAUCCGGGAUGUUAUGUAGUACGUGUGGCAGUGUACAUAUUUUAUCCAAAGAGAGUACAUUCUCAUCUUGGAACCAGGGAAAGCUCAUGGGUAGCACAAGUCCAAGCAUCUCUGUUGUCUUCCUGACAGGUAACAAACAUCCCUACUGUCUUUCAGCUGAGUAUUAUUCUCUCCUUUGUUUGGGCUAGACUUGUGGCUUAUGCUGGUAGGAUUUCCAUGAUGCUGACCAUUAAGGAUUAUAUUAUCAAGACAGUUUUUCACUGCCUUUAUUAAUUGUUUGAGAAAUGCCCAAUAUAAUUGAAGUUAACUUUCAUUUGGGCCAUGAUUGAAGUUAACUUAGAUGAACUAGUAGCUUUGAUGUUCAUGAGCUGAUGUCAUUGCUCACCUUAGUCAAUCUUAAUUUGAUCCCGGGACUAGCAAUCCCGUGAAAAUCCCUUCAUUUCAAACUAAUUGAAGUUCAGUACAAAAAAACAAUUGAAGUUCUAAUGUUGUGCUAAGUCAAACUUCUUCAAGUUUGACCAAGUAUAUAAAAACUAUUUCAACAUCUACAACACCAAAGUUUCAUCAUAACAUUGUGCUCUCCUCUCCCAACCCACUCGCCGCUGGUGAGUACUAUCACACAGAGGAAACUAUGUUGCUCUUCUUUUACUUGUUUUUUGAGGAAGCUGUAGCCUGCCGCACGUGCAUGGUAGAUUAGUUCUGCAAGUAGGUAGUAUCUUGGAUUCCGCUGGACAUGUAGCCAUGGAGAUAAAAAAAAAUUAAUGCUUUGCGUAGGUUCAUGGCCCUGCUAUGUGCUUGCUCCUGUCUAUGUCCAUGAGCAACAGCAAAAUCAAUCGUUUAGUAGCAUAUCAUUCUUAGACCUUAGUGCUUGUCCUAGAAACUGGAUAUACCGGAGUCCAUAGUGCUAGUGCACUUUAAUUUUUGUUAAGUUUGUACACCCUGCCCGAGAAAGCAAUAGCCGUCACUUAGCUUUUUGUUGGAUGCCUUAUAGAGGAUGAAUUGGUUUAUUUAUGUUUAAUGUUGCCCCUCUUACAGAUUCUCGCUUAGAGAUACCAAGCUUGUUCUCCGAGAGUUCGAGAAAUGUGGCGUUAUAUUGAGACAUCACUAUGGCCCAACAGAGGGUAAUUGGAUAAUUAGUAAUUCUGGACAUCUUUGUAGCUUGCAAAAACCAGAUUGCAAGUAAUUCUUAACAUCUUUGUAGCUUGCAAGAACAUAUCCAAUUUGACUGAUUGUAGGCCCGUAUCCAAUUUGAUUCAUUCACAGUUUCUUUGCCUUGAGUUUCAAUCAAUUGUACUGGUGUAGGUAGUAUGUUCAUAUCAUACUUUGCAAUGGAUCAAAAAUAAUCUAAAGGUGAAGCUGUAGUAGUUUGGUCUUGCUUUCUUUUGUUCACAUUGGCUAACUUGAUAUUGUAACAAACGAGAGCAGAAGACACUGAUUAAUGCUAAUGAUUUAGUAAAUACAUUUUUUUUGUGUUUUUCUUUGCCUUGUCCCGCCCAGUAAUGUAUUCUAUUUGUCUGCGAAGACUGAACUUGGUGCCAAACAUUAUAGAAAGUACUAAUCUAGACUGGUAUCCAUGGUAACCAUGUGCGUUCCUGGACCAUUUAGUUUGAAUAACCAGUGAGGAAUUAAGCAUAUAUUUUUGGCAUGAGCUCUUUUAAAUUGCUAGAUGAGAAGGAAUCUUAACUUAAUGGGUCUUGUGAAUUGUAAUAUACUAUUUGGUUGAACUGAUGAUAUUUGCAUACUAACAAGUUUUCACUUUCCCGGCGUGGACGCAGGGGUGAUCGACGCUGACUAGCAUGGCCCGGUGGGCACUGUGCUCUUCAACCCGGUGAAGCCCGGCGGCCACAUCGCACAGAUGAUAGUCCAGGUGAUCAUGACGCCGAAGGUCGCCGAGGUGGAGGACCUCGACGCCACCGUCCGGGGGGAGGGAGGAUUCGGGUCCGCCGGCGUCUGAACUCCGAGCCUUGGUACAUUCAUCUGGAGAAGUGGUUUGUUUAGGUUGGUGGUGAACACUAGGGAAGGUACCUACGUUUUGAUGAUGGUUGUGUGUGUCUGAUGUUAAAUGGAUUCUUGUGAUCUCUUCCAGUUGAGAUGGUUCUGUGACCUUAGUUUAUCUUGCACUGGAUGUGUCUCUGAUUUCCAUCCAUGAAUACUGCAUCUAAUUUUUACUAUUCUAAUUCCUAAUUAGCUAGUAGUAGCGUGGGGGAAAAGGUGCAUGCUACUGGUCCUAAUUAGCUAGUAGUAGCGUGGGGGAAAAGUGCACGCUACUAGUACAUAGGAUAGUAGUAGCGUGGGUUACAAAAAAGCCCUACUGCUAUCUUCAGUUACCAGUAGCGCUGGGACAAACAAGCGCUACUGCUAAAAAAUAGCAGUAGCAGUAGCGCGUCUGCCAGUGCUACUGGUAGCAAAAAAACCAGCGCUACUGGUAAGCAUUUUCCUAGUAGUGUAUGGAUGACUAGUUACGAAGGGACCAUUUCGUUUUUGUAGGAUGGUCUGGCCUAUUGCUCUUUCCUUGUGCUUAUUUCGCUUUAGGGGGUUGGUUUACAGGGACAAGUUUUGUAACUUCUUGGUAUACCCAUGGAUUGGCUAGUUCCUAUUUGAAAGGGUGUAAUUUCUUAACCGCAACAGUUUCUACCCCUGCCAAUAGUUUAGCACACUCUUUGUUGCUACUAUGGGGGCCUAAAGCACAAGGAGAUUUUACUCGUUGGUGUCAAUUAGGCGGUCUAUGGACUUUUGUAGCUCUCCACGGGGCUUUUGCACUAAUAGGUUUCAUGUUACGCCAAUUGAACUUGCUCGGUCCGUUUAAUUGCGGCCUUAUAAUGCAAUCUCAUUCUCUGGUCCAAUUGCUAUUUUUGUUUCUGUAUUCCUUAUUUAUCCACUGGGGCUAUCUGGUUGGUUCUUUGCACCGAGUUUUGGCGUAGCAGCGAUAUUUCGAAUCAUCCUUUUCUUCCAAGGAUUUCAUAAUUGGACGUUGAACCCAUUUCAUAUGAUGGGAGUUGCCGGAGUAUUAGGUGCGGCUUUGCUAUGCGCUAUUAAUGGAGCGACCGUAGAAAACACUCUAUUUGAGGACGGUGGUGGUGCAAAUAACUUCCGUGCUUUUACCGAAAAAGGCUUUCGCCCCGCUUUAUAGAUAAAGCACACCGCCACAAAACACACAACCCCAACAGGUUCAGACACACACACCCAAGUAGCACAACAAAGUCAAAAGGUACUGCUGAGGGCACAGCUCAACAAGCCCAAAGAAACAGAAAAGGAAACCGGGCGAGGCCGGGCGAGAGACCCACGGAGGGGGCUAGUCAGGCUCCGGCGGAGGGGGCGGCGGCGGCGGCGACAGGCGGACGGCCAUCGUGCGGAGGUCGGCGAUGAAGGCGGAGAUGGCGUUGCGCUCCAGGAGACGGCUAAGCGGCCGCCAAAGCUGCAGGAAACCCGAGAAUUUGUAGAGAGCGUCAGUAGCACGACGAAUCGGAGUGCGCUCAAUCACAAGCUUAUUACGAACAGUCCAAAGAGUCCAGGCUAGGGUCCCAACCUCCAGCCACCUAAUGUGGCGGGAGGACGGGGGGGACGCUUGGAGUUCAGCAAAAAGGUCGGGGAAGUUGGUGUGAGUCCAAUUUCCGCCGACAAGCUCGCGAAAACAGCUCCAGAGGAACUGGGCAGAGGUGCAAGCGAAGAAGAUGUGGUUAGAAUCCUCGGGGACGGCACAGAGGGGGCAGAGACCAGAACCCGGGCCAUUACGCUUGCGGACCUCCACACCGGAGGGGAUCCGUCCCCGGAUCCACUGCCACAUGAAGAUACGGAUCUUCAGAGGGAGGCGGACGGACCAAACCAUUGAGAGGGGGGGAGGGGCGGCGGAGGGGGUAAUGACCGCAUAGAGCAAUUUGGUAGAGAACUGGACAGACGGCUCCAAAUGCCAUCGAACACGGUCUUGGACGCCGUCAACCAGCGGCUCAUGAAGAGCGACGCACUCAAGAAGCUCACGCCAGGCGGCGGAUUCCGUAGGCCCAAAUGGCCGACGGAAAGCGAGGCGCCCUAAGUCAAAUAGGGCCCUAUCAACAGAGAUCAUGGGGUCGACAGAGAUAGCAAAGAGAAUGGGGAAGCGAGCCGCAAAGGGGGCGUCAUCGGCCCUACGGUCAUACCAGAAUAACGUCGAACGGCCAGAUCCUACCGAGAUAGAGGUACCAAUGCGGAGCACAGGGAGGAGCUGGACAAGGGACUGCCAGAACUGAGAGCCACCCGACUUCUGGCAGAAGGCAAGGGGUUGGCCGCGCAGGUAUUUAUUCCGGAUAAUGUCCAGCCAGAGGCCCCCGUGGCCCUGCGAGAUGCGCCACAGCCAUCGGGAGAGGAGGGCAAUAUUCAUCCGUUUGGAGCACAUGAUCCCCAAACCCCCCUGCUCCCUCGGCUUGCAGAUGUCAGGCCAGCUGACCAUGUGAUACUUCUGCUUGCCGUGCUCCCCAGCCCAAUAGAAGCGGGACUGGAUUUUGGCGAUCUCCUUAUGAAGAGAAUCGUGAAGGCUGUAGAGACUCAUAAGAAAUAAGAGGAGACUGGAGAGGGAGGAGUUGAUAAGAAUAGUCCUGGCCGCCUUGGACAGCCACCUCCCCUGCCAAGGCUCGCAUCUAGUCUGGAGCUUGGUCACGGAGGGGCGAAGAUCGGCGGCCAGGAGGCGCGAGUGACUGAUGGGCGUCCCCAGAUAGGUAGAAGGAAACGAGCCCAAGCGGCAAUUGAGUCUAUUGGCAAUGGCCACUGACUCCUCGGGAGAGUAUCCCAUCACCAUAACAUCGCUCUUAUCAAAAUUGAUCUUGAGGCCCGACAUCUGCUGAAAGCAAAGGAGGAGGAAUUUGAGAUUGGCGAUGUCCAUCUCCGAGCCUUCGACCAUGAUGAUCGUGUCGUCCGCAUACUGGAGGAUGGAGAUCCCCGCGUCCCCGGAGAGAUGGGGGGCGAUGCCUCGGAGGUGGCCCGCAGCUUUCGCCUUAUCGAGAAUGGAAGCCAAAGCGUCCACGACCAUGUUGAAGAGGAACGGGGAGAAGGGGUCGCCUUGGCGCACCCCACAAAGGGUAGGGAAGAAGGGACCAAUUUCGCCAUUAAUAUUGACCGCCGUGCGACCGCAAGAGACCAUUUGCAUGACUCUCGUGAUCCAUUGGUCGUCAAAUCCCUUGCGCAGAAGGACUUCCCGAAGGAAGGGCCAGCUAACCGUGUCAUAAGCUUUGUGAAAAUCGAUCUUCAGAAAGACCGCCUUCAGGUGUUUGACCCGGACCUCAUGAAGAACCUCGUGCAGGACCAAGACCCCAUCAAGGAUGAACCGACCCUGAAUGAACGCCGACUGAUUAGGGUGAGUGAUCCGGUCGGCCAGCAGGGUCACCCUAUUGGCGUACCCUUUGGCCAAGAUCCGGAAGAUCACGUUUAUGACCGUAAUCGGGCGGAACUGGCGGAUGUCAGUCGCCCCAGGGACCUUGGGAAUGAGGGAGAUGGUCCCAAAGUUGAGGCGGCCAAGGUCGAUCGAGCCCACGAAGAAUUCCUCGAAAAUGGCCAUGAUCUCGGGUUUGACCACGCUCCAGAAGGUUUGGAAGAAGAGAACCGGGAGGCCGUCCGGGCCCGGCGCCGAGGAGGGAUUCAUACCCUUGAUAGCCUCCCAGACCUCUUGUACAGAGAAGGGGGCCGUCAAGGUGGCAUUGUCUUCGUCAGAGACUAGACGGUCGCUGGUCCAGCAGUCAAAGGCAAGAGAGAGGCCGCUCCGAGGAGCGGGGGAGAAGAGGGAGCGAUAGAAGCCAUCAACAUGGGCGCGGAUAUCUCGGGGAUCCUGAAGGAGAGUGGCUCCCUCCCAAAGGCAGGAGAUGGUGUUGCGUCUACGGCGCCCAUUUGCGAUCACCUGGAAGUAGGCCGUAUUCGCAUCCCCCUUCAAGACCCAACGUUGGGCGCCCCGAAUGCGCCAAUAAGCCUCCUCAUCAGAGUAAAUCACGGAGAGCUGGUCCUCGAGGUCAUAACGGGACAUCCACUCGUCAGGAGAGAGACCGAUCGCAUCAGCCCUGAAGUCGAGGUCCUGGAUCGCCGACAGGAGAGCCUUCUUCCGCUCCCUGGAGUCUCUUCCCAGGUUGGCUCCCCACCCCUUCAUAAAUUGUCGGGCACGCUUCGCACAGAAGUGCCACGCAUCUAUGGCGGAAGGGGGGCGGGGGUGGGGAUGGCCACGAGCCUCGAUCCAACGAGCACUGACAGCGUCGGAGAAUCCGGCCUGGGAGAGCCAGACAGCCUCAAAACGGAACCGAGGGGGAAUCGGGGGGCGCUCAUCCGCGGAGGAGAGAAGCAGGGGAACGUGGUCAGACCCAAUCCGGGUGACGGCAUGAAGAGAGGCUAAGGGGCACCGGAGGUCCCACUCGGGGGAAACUAGGACCCUGUCCAAGACGGAGAGGGUCGGGGAGGCUUGGCGGUUGGUCCAAGUAAAACGAGCCCCAACCCGAUCAAGCUCCCUGAGGGCGAGGUCGGCAAUGAAGUCGUUAAACAUGUCCAUCCGGGCAAAACUAACAUUGCCAUUGUUCUUGUCUUCCGCACACCGCAACAGGUUGAAGUCCCCCCCCCCGACAACUACGGGGAGGGAGGCGGCCGAGAUUUUCCGGUGAAGUUCCUCCAGGAAGGAGGCCGACCUACUAUGGUCAGCCGGACCAUAGACGAUGAUGAUCUCCCAUUUGAAAUUGAGAGAUCUCUCAAAGACCUCCAUGCUGACGAAGAAUUCGCCCCGGUCCAUGCUGCCCACCUCAAAGGUGGCAUCCUUCACGCCUAGGAGGAUGCCACCCGAGUGGCCUGCACUCCCACUAGAAGGGAGCCAGUGCCACGCAAAUAGGUGAGAGCUCAGCCGGUUGAGCUCAGGGAGCGCAAAGUCCCGGCGCAUGGUCUCCUGCACGGCCACUAGGUCGAUGCGUUCAUCGCGCAAGUACUGCACUAACUGGCGGCGUCGGCCAUCAUGGCCGAAGCCGCGGAUGUUCCAGAAUAGGGCAUGCGUCAAGGAGCCAUUGGGGGGCUGCUUGACCCCAAGACACGAGACGCGCUGAGAGCGCGGAGGGCCGCCGUGCGGGAGCGGGUGCGACCCCGGAUCACCAGCUCGGCCCCCGAAGGGCGGGGGGCCGCCUGCCGCGUCCGAGGAGGGGGGGAGGGGUCUCUAGGGGGCGCCUGGGCCGGGGGAGGGGGAGCCGCAAGGGCCGCUCGGGCCUCUGCCAGUUUCCCAUCCAGAAUCUCCCGGGCCCGAAUGGCCCCAAUCUGGGCGAGGGGGGGACCCACCUCCCCACGGAAGAUGAUCGCGGAAUCGGCGACCACUUGGGCGAGAUGGCCCAAAGGGACAGAUUCAAGAGCAGAGAAGGAGCAAGACGAAGCAGAAGUAGAAGGGGGGGCGGAGGGCGUACCUGGCUCCAGGUUGCGGGCGGCAGCGCGAAGCUCAGCCCGCUCGGAGAUGGGGAGCGCCGGGUGGCCCGCGGGGUGAGCGGCGUCCAACCGAGCACUCCUGCGUCCGGCGACCACCGGGGAAGAGGCCGACCGGCCGCGGCGGGAGUAGGCGGCAGACCGAGGAGGGGGAGGCUGGGCCACCAGGGGGGUGAUGAUCUGGGCCGCCACCUCCCCAGAGGGCGACGAGGGGGGGGCCACCAAUCCCGGCCCAGCACAGNNNNNNNNNNNNNNNNNNNNNNNNNNNNNNNNNNNNNNNNNNNNNNNNNNNNNNNNNNNNNNNNNNNNNNNNNNNNNNNNNNNNNNNNNNNNNNNNNNNNNNNNNNNNNNNNNNNNNNNNNNNNNNNNNNNNNNNNNNNNNNNNNNNNNNNNNNNNNNNNNNNNNNNNNNNNNNNNNNNNNNNNNNNNNNNNNNNNNNNNNNNNNNNNNNNNNNNNNNNNNNNNNNNNNNNNNNNNNNNNAGGUGGCGAGGAGAUGAUGGAGGCUGGGGGAGGCGAGGCCGGAGGGGGGGGCGUCCGCAGGAGACGGCGACCCACCCUCAGGGGCCGCCGGCGCGGAGGGGAUGGGGCCGCCGGUCGGGUCGACAGGAGCCACCUUCGGAGCCGGGGGAGAGACGGGGGAGCGCGGAGAGGAGGCCGGGCAGACCACCAGGCCGACACUGGAGAUGUCGCUCCCCUCGGACGAUGACCCGUCAGGGAUCGGGGGGUCAUCAGCGGAGGGGCCUGGGGCGGCCUGGCGGCCCUUGCCCCCCGGAGCCGGAGGGGGGGGCGAGGGAGGAGGAGAGUGGGAGUCCUCGGACUCCCCCUCCUCGUCAGAGCAGUGGGAGCGCGAGUGGUGACGGCCGUGGUAGUCUCCGUCGGCCCCCCGGAAGUCGUCUGGGGGACCGACGUCGAGGGAGCGGGGGCGCCCAACGUGGUUGGGCGGCUCGGGGGCGAUCCUGAGGUCGAAGCCCUGGUCGUUGAAGAAGACCCGGACCGAGGUGUGCAGCCUGGUGGAGUCGAGACACUUGACUUUGACCCUGACCUCCUCCUCCUUGCGCAGUGAGAGCUCAUCAACCACCACCACCUUGCCCAAGAGGCGAGACAUCUGGCGGAUGACAAGCUCUGACCGCGCGAUGUCAGGGAGACCGGAGAUGAGGAUCCAAGCGGUGUCGAGGACGGCCACGACCUGGGCGUCGAGAACAGGCUCGGAGAUCUCAACCACCAGUUGGUUGAGGGCGAGGGUGAUCCGGCCACUACGCGUGCCGUAGCCGUAGCUGACGGAGUCGGGGAAGACGACGGAGAAGAUGUGGCUGGCGGUGGGGAUAACCACCCAGUCCCACUGACAACGGUAGAGGUGGUUGAGCUCGGCCUCGAUCAUCUCCGGGGAGGCCACCCCGUCAACGACCGUGACGAUCGCCUGAAGAGAGGGCGAAGGCGGAGGGGCAUCCGGGACCUCAAGGUGGAAGAAGCCCAACCCCUCGAUGUCGUGGCCAUACAUCAUGAGCUCGGACACCACCGGUCUGUCCGGACACAGAAUGGCGGGGUGGCCCGGAUCCUUGCAGAGGUAGCAGCACUGGGGGUUGACACAGGCAACCUGGGAGUGCCCCCUCACCCCACAGUUGAAGCAAGGGGGGCGAGGAAGACCGGAGACGGGGCCCGGAGCGGAGGGGGCCCCCGGACCCGAGGAUGGAGGGAUGGUCGGAGUGGGUCGGGCACCCCGACGCUUCUUCUUCUUGGCGGGGCCAGGGCGGCCGCGGGCGGGAGCGCCCCCAGAGGCCGGACCCGGGGCCGAGGACCCCGAGGCAGCGUGAGGCGGGACGUAGCGGCGGGUGUCCGGAGUGGGGAGGAUGCCAUCACGAACCGGACGGGCGGGGGAGGGGGACCGGUCCCUACGACGGGAGGGCGAGGGGGAGCGCCGGCGGCGCCAGUUGCCCGACGACUCUCGGGGCGAGCGUGACCGGGCCCGGUCAUCCCGACGGGAGGGGGAGCGGCGGCUGUCCCGGAGCUCCCGGAGCUCGCGCCGGAGCUCCUCCUCCCGUCGGAGGGAGUCGGGGGAGGGCCGGGACGAGUCGCGAGAAUCACCCCCCGCUUUGCGCUUCGCCCGGGGAGCCAGGUCCGCCUGGUCGCGCGGCAUGGCGAGCCGCAACCGGGCGGGAGGGGGCAGGGCGAGGCGGGCUACCGGCGUCAGAGAAGCCGCCGGACGGCCAGACGAGGGGGGAGGCGCGGCGAGAGGUGGAUGCGGGGCGAGGGCGGGAGCAGAAGGGGGCGGGGGAUCGGGGCGAGACGAGCCCGAAGCAGGGGAGGCGGCGCGCGAGGGAUGGGCGAGGGAGAGGCUUCGAGGGAGCCAGAAGGCGCUGGCCGGCACCUCCCUNNNNNNNNNNNNNNNNNNNNNNNNNNNNNNNNNNNNNNNNNNNNNNNNNNNNNNNNNNNNNNNNNNNNNNNNNNNNNNNNNNNNNNNNNNNNNNNNNNNNNNNNNNNNNNNNNNNNNNNNNNNNNNNNNNNNNNNNNNNNNNNNNNNNNNNNNNNNNNNNNNNNNNNNNNNNNNNNNNNNNNNNNNNNNNNNNNNNNNNNNNNNNNNNNNNNNNNNNNNNNNNNNNNNNNNNNNNNNNNNNNNNNNNNNNNNNNNNNNNNNNNNNNNNNNNNNNNNNNNNNNNNNNNNNNNNNNNNNNNNNNNNNNNNNNNNNNNNNNNNNNNNNNNNNNNNNNNNNNNNNNNNNNNNNNNNNNNNNNNNNNNNNNNNNNNNNNNNNNNNNNNNNNNNNNNNNNNNNNNNNNNNNNNNNNNNNNNNNNNNNNNNNNNNNNNNNNNNNNNNNNNNNNNNNNNNNNNNNNNNNNNNNNNNNACGGAGAGGGGGGAGGGGGGAAGGGGGCGUCGUCCGCGCAGUCGGCCCACCGGAAGGAGGCGCCCAGGGCAGCCGGCGCGGGGAGCGGCGGCGGAGCCGCGGGCGAGGGGGCCUGCAGGGAGGGAGAAGGGGAGGGCGACAGAGGAGUCUCGGCGGCGGCGGCGCAACCGGCUGCGGGAGCGCCCGCGGUGUCGCCCGUCAUCUUCCGCCACUUCCGUGCUUUUAACCCAACUCAAGCUGAAGAAACUUAUUCAAUGGUCACUGCUAACCGCUUUUGGUCCCAAAUCUUUGAUGCUCCUUUUUCCAAUAAACGCUGGUUACAUUUCUUUAUGCUAUUUGUACCCGUCACCGGUUAAUGGAUGAGUGCUAUUGGCGUAGUUGGCUUGGCUCUGAACUUACGUGCCUAUGACUUUGUUUCCCAGGAAAUCCGUGCAUCGGAAGAUUCUGAAUUUGAGACUUUCUACAUCAAAAAUAUUCUUUUAAACAAGGGUAUUCGUGCGUGGAUGAAAGCUCAGAAUCAGCCUCAUGAAAAUCUUAUAUUUCCUGGAAACACUCUUUAAUGGAACUUUCGUUUUAGCUGGUCGUGACCAAGAAACCACUGGCUUUGCUUGGUUGGUUGGGAAUGCCAGACUUAUCAAUUUGUCCGGUAAACUUCUUGGAGCUCAUGUAGCCCAUGCCGAAUGAAUCGUAUUCUGGGCCGGAGCAAUGAACCUAUUUGAAGUGGCCCAUUUUGUACCAGAAAAGCCCAUGUAUGAACAAGGGUUGAUUUUACUUCCACACUUAGCUACUCUAGGUUGGGGAGUAGGGCCCGGGGGGAGGGGGGGAAUUCUAGAUACUUUUCCGUACUUUGUAUCUGGCGUACUUCACCUAAUUUCCUCCGCAGUCUUAGGCUUCGGUGGCAUUUAUCACGCGCUUCUGGGACCCGAGACUCUUGAGGAAUCUUUUCCAUUCUUUGGUUAUGUCUGGAAAGAUAGUGUGACUUUGUACUAAAUCAGCGACACUUAUUUUGGGACGGAGGGAGUAUAUCAUUAUUAGAAAGGCAUCUGAGAAUCACUAUGACUGUGAAGAUGAUAGAAGCCUUGCAUCCAGCGCUAAUGUGGUUUUUCAUUAAUAUUUUUUUAUCACAACAUAAGCAAAUGUGUUUUCUCUUCUUACGUCUUGAUGACAUUAAGACUGAUAGCUCCUUGCAAGAACAGAUCUAAGCGUUUAUUUCUUCAACGCAAAAGCGAAUGUUUUGUUUCUGUGCAUUUCUGCAGCCCAGGCUCAUAUGCUAUUUUUAUUUACAAAUUAAUCGUGCACCAAAUGGAGUAUAUGCCAUUUUAUCCUAGGGCCGUAAUGAUGUUAAGAUUUUGAUGGAUUUUGUACAGUACCGUAAUUUACUAUUAAUAAUUCCUAGUUUGUAUGCCACUUUCUCCAAUAUUUUCCUCUAGGUUUCUUUGCUAUGAUAUGCCGAUCUUUGGAGGGAGCCAAAAACUUACCUUAAAUCUGUCAAUUUCCAUUUCAUUCAUCUUUCACGUUGCAAGCAAUGGACAUGAAAAACUGUCUGUUUUUACUUCCCAGAUGUGAUGGUAUGAGCAACUCCAAUAGCUCCUAUAAAAAUCUUCCUAAGAAGUCGUCUUACGGGGUGUCUGUACAAUUUAGGGGAGGUUGAUGGAUGACUAAUUUCUCAGUUCCCGUAAACAUGUACCCCUAGAAUAUGUUUUUUUUCCUAUUUCUCUUUUAAAAUUGGUCCAUAACACAAGGUACCUAACAUGUCACUGAGAAAAUGAAAGGUGAUGUCGGUCAGGGAAGGUCCGACGAAGUGGGCGGGGAGGCGCAGAGAAGGUCUGGCGAGGCGGCUGGCUGGCUCGAAGAGGUAGGCAGGCGACACUACCAGCGGCAGAGCAGUGGCUGCAGGGAGAGGUGGGCGGGCUGAACAGCGGGCGGUCGCCAGGCGUUGGCGGACAAGUGCGGGCGGCAGGUGAGGCGGGCCGACGGCGAGGGGGCUGCGUAGCGGCGCGAGGGUGUUCGAUGUGAAAGUUCAGGCAGUUUCAGCCCACCAAAAUUAUAUGGGAAGGGUCAUUUUCCUGUAAACGCAAGGAAAGUUUGGGGAAAUUAUAAGGGAUCCUGUAAAAGUUUCCGGGUUUACCGGACUUGUUGGAAAAUUAUUGGAGUUUACAGAUACAAGAACUAUUGGAGUUACUCUGAGUAUGAUCAAAACAAAUGUAACAUGAAUAUUAAGUCCUACUACAUGGAGGUUGGUUACUCUGGACUAGAUCAUUCAUGAUUAUCCUGUUUGCAAAUGCAACUUUCAUUCAACCAGUCACUCAUUCAUGAACUUCUGUCCAUUCCUUCAUUUCCGGCAUGGAAUUGGAAACUAAACAUGCAUGUAGAAUGAUCCAGAGUAACCAACUUUCAUGUAGUGCCAAGCAAGGUCACAAGACUCCGCAGUUUAACCUGAACGGCUCAUUCAACACAUAUACCGUGCAAAGAUUUUUUUUCUUCCUAAAAAGAGGUAACAAGGACUAGAGAUGUGUACAAGUAUUAUAUAUACCCAUGCCUUAGGAUGUCAAGUUGGGUGUGAUAUGGACAUGUUUAGCUUCAGUCCAUUUAAGAUAUUGGAGGUAAACAAAGAAAAUGGGAGAGUCAAGGUCAAGGAGGUGAAGGGAGAAUAGACUGAUUAGGACCACCAAUUUCUUGUCUUGCUUGUAGCCUCGAUGGUGUAGGAACUGUCGAUGGUGAGUUUGUCGUGAAGAGAGAAAGGAGAAAACCGCACUUGAAGAUUAGUUGCUUCUGCUCUACAGCUAUGGUUAGUGUAUGGUAUACAUAUCCUCUAUACAGGCGUUACCACCUACUUCUUUUGUUAGUACUGCCGUUCCAUCAAUCAUAAGUCUUUCAGCCGAUCAAUUAUGCAACUUGAUUAUUUUUAUCAACAGGUGACUAUAUUUGUUCUACAGGUUGUAGUGAUUGUCCUAUAUGUACCUGAUAUCUCCUCGGUAGCCUGUCUAGAAAUUGUCGGCAUUGUGCACUACACAAUAGCAAAAGCGAUACUAGAUGGAUGAGAUCAAUUUGUUACUUUUAUACUACAUUCACCAUUUAGCAUCAAUAGUUAAUAUACAAAAUGAAAAAUAUUUCAAGUUGUAUAAUAAAGUGAGAGUAUGCUUUAGUCAUGCUUGGUCUUUAGUAUGACCACCUAGCCCCGUUGAGGGGAUCUCGAUCGGACUGUCAUUGUUGUUGUGUGGAUGAGGGCGGGGGGAGAAGGCCUGGUUUCUCCCGUAGCAAAUGGAUAUAGUCGUCACUGAUGUUGUCGGUGUUUGAGAGCUUGGUUAAGUGAACCUGAAGAGGCGGGAAAUAUGUCAUUUUUCUCUCUUGGAUCAAAUGUCCCUUGUAAAGCGUUAUCUUUCUACCGUGGAUAUGAGAAAAAUAAUUUAAAUCAACAUCCGAGUAAUAAUUGCCAUAACUAUUAUUUGAGUCUGCUGGUGGCACAUGUGUUCUCUGCAGCGUGCCAGUGGUUGUGACACGUACGAGAGUGAGUGCGUACAUAUGUGGCUGUAUAUAGACAAUGCAGCUUGGCCACAUGUGGUGGGCAUGCCACUUAUUGCAAAAAGACCUGAGAAGAGAAGCAACAUCUUUGCCCUUGUGAAACACAACACACCACCGGCACUAGUAUGCAUAUUUAGCUGACAGGUGAACACAGUUACUACCUAGCUAGGGUCCCUGGGUGCUUAUAAAUAACAUCCCUGUGGAUGCUCCUUUAAAGGCACACCACUCACGCAGUCACGCUUAGCGUCGAUCUUCACACACUUCUUCUUCAACAUGCCUCCAGAUUCACCUACCCUCGCUCUCAAAGCGGCCACCAUUCUCGCCAUGCUUGCCAUGGUGAUCCUUCCAUCCGUGGGGAGCUCCCCGUCGCUGGGCCAAGAAGAACUAGUAACGACCCCGGCACCAGCAUCGGGUCCGGCGCUGGCGAUGCGGUGCAGCGAGUGUGGCCCACACUGCACAGGGAUGUGCAGAGUCUCUGUUCCCCCGAAGUGCCGCAAGUACUGCGACGUCCCCAGCUGCGAGGACUGCCGGUCUUCCGCGAUCGGCAAGUGCAGGGUAGGUUGCACCACUAGUAGCUGUGACUGCGACGGUGAGGCGACCCGGUCAUGCUAUGGCUUUUGCUCUGGCAGUUCUUCGUGCGCGGACUGCAUGAGGCUAACUAGUGAGCAGUGCACGAGUGAAUGCAACGGCAAGUGCGCCACCACUUGUACGAACAAAAUCAACCAAGGCAAAUAGGUCGGCUGGGCCUCUUGGUAUGUAUCCAUACCAUCUACGUAUGGUAUGGAUGUUGUAACUGCCAUAAUAUCGUACCUUUUUUGCAGUCAAAUAAAAAUCUGGUACCUUUCCUUUACUCCUUGUCAUAAAAUACCUCGCAAAUUAUUACUUGAUGGUAAUUUCAUUUGGAAUUACAACGCGCAUGUCAUGUGAUAUUUGUAUCUUUUACCAUAUUUAGUUUUUCGUUUCAUAGGAUAUAUUAGAUUAAAGACCUGAACAUAGAUGGUGGUGGUGGUGCUACCACACUGCCACUACUGACAAUGUUGCCACUUACUACUAGCACCACUACUACAAAUGUUGUCACUUACUACUAGCACUACCAUUACCACCACCACUACCUAAAUUUCAGUGAAAUGGAUCAUUCAAGAUCUACCACCAACACCACCACUACAACCUAAAUUUCAGUGAAAUGUUAGUACAAUAAAAGUAGCACCGACAUACAAUGGUUCAAGCAAAAUUUCAUUAUCAUAGAAUCAUCUGUGAUAAACUUGAGUAAGUAUGGUUGAUAGGAAGCAAUAGCUUCAUUUUCUCACAAUAAUUAUAAAAGACAAAUUGGAGACAUUAAAAUUUGAUUGCUAGCAUGAUCAGAUGCAUAAAGUCGUGCUUCGUGAAUAAAUUAAAAUUUUCAAUUGUAUGGAAGCAAGGCAUCAACAAAGUUGUGCUUUGUGAAUAAAUUAAGAUUUAAAUUGUAUGGAAGCAAGGCAUCAACGGGAAAAGCUUAUUUAUUAACUGAAGUAUGGCAAGUGUUAGGAAGCAUGAAAUUAUAUGGCAGCUCAAGAUAACUAUUUUUGGUUGGGAGAUAAAACAUUUGUAAUGUAGAACAUACUAAUACUGUGGCCAAUAAGAGGAUGCAUGUUUUGUUACGCAUAGAUAGGAAUUUAACCGAUUUACUAUUGUCUUGCACAAUGCACCAUUAGGUAUGAAUGUGACACAAACGGGAGAAACUGAACUCCCCGACGUGGGAUAUGGCGCGUGGUCAUGACGGGAAUGGAUCGAGCCAGGGUCAUCGUCACUCCACACGAUAUCACCUCCAUUGUCAGCCAUCAUCGCGAGGACACACAAAACUAACAGAGAAAUCACAAUCUACAUGCCAUGCAAAGAUCCAGGGUGCCCCAUCUCUCUGAGUAAGGGUAUAUGUUUUUUUAAUAAGGGCGGUAAAUGUGUUUGUUUAGUAACAUGGGUUUUUUUCUUUGAGGGAAAUGAUAGAUGGGGUUGAAACAGAGGCCCACAGGUGGAGCGAGUAAUUAGGCCCAACAUACAGGAACCAAAUUCUGAACUGGGCCAUGUUUUUCCCAGACCCAACGUCACAAGCCCAGCUCACAGUUGGCCUUUGUCUCAAAAAAAAAUACCUCACAGUUCGCCUAUCUGCGUCCUCCUCGCCAUGGCUCAAGGUACUCACUCACCCCCACUACCGCCAUGGCUCAAGGUACUCACAGUUCGGCACCAGCUUCNNNNNNNNNNNNNNNNNNNNNNNNNNNNNNNNNNNNNNNNNNNNNNNNNNNNNNNNNNNNNNNNNNNNNNNNNNNNNNNNNNNNNNNNNNNNNNNNNNNNNNNNNNNNNNNNNNNNNNNNNNNNNNNNNNNNNNNNNNNNNNNNNNNNNNNNNNNNNNNNNNNNNNNNNNNNNNNNNNNNNNNNNNNNNNNNNNNNNNNNNNNNNNNNNNNNNNNNNNNNNNNNNNNNNNNNNNNNNNNNNNNNNNNNNNNNNNNNNNNNNNNNNNNNNNNNNNNNNNNNNNNNNNNNNNNNNNNNNNNNNNNNNNNNNNNNNNNNNNNNNNNNNNNNNNNNNNNNNNNNNNNNNNNNNNNNNNNNNNNNNNNNNNNNNNNNNNNNNNNNNNNNNNNNNNNNNNNNNNNNNNNCUGCGGUCCUGUCUUCAACCUCUCUGGUGUCCUCUUCUGACCUCCCGUCUUACUUCCUCCGGCCUCGUCAAUGGGUACGACGACGGAAGCCAGUCCGGCCUUCCCGUCAACACAAGGUAUCAGUCCUGUUCGUCCAUUUCUUCCGCGAUUCGUCUCACAAGAAUUUAAUUGAAGGGGCACGCCCAAUGGAUGAAUCAGCAAGGUUAGGAAACAGAAUUCAGUUGCAUAGCCUGACGGACAGUGAUGUAGAUGUACAUAUGUGCUUUUCUAGCUUAACAACUCUGCGCUUUCUGUGGAUAUCACUUCAAAUAAUCAUCAAAUUUUCCAUCUGCGACAUCACUAUCAGGCGGACGGGAGGCAAUUGGCUUCGAAGUUCCGUUUCUUGAUGAAGUUCAUCCGCUCAGUGGCGGAGUUAUAUCCAGAAACAGAAAGGUGCCAUAGCACCCGGGUGGCCCGACACCCCCUAAUCCGGUUCGUCGAGUGACUUCAAGAUUCGCGUCGUGGAAUAGUUAGUGCAAGCCGCAUGCAUUGUCAGGUUAAUUUACUAGGCAAUUUGCAGAGACAAAACAGGACCUGUAGUAGCCUGUAGCAGGCAGUGUAGGGCCGGCAGUAGUGGGCACGGGUAGGCUAGAGAUAGCCCUGGACGAGGCUAGGUGGCCUAUCGGGAGAAAAGACAACACAUUCAAAAAUCAAGGACGUCGCUAACUGUCACAUGUGUGGCAGGAAAGGAGACGCACUACACGUCUCUUAUGCAAAUAGAUUACCACGUCAUCGCAUGCAUGCAUGCGAGAAUUGUUUUUGAUUUUCAGUUUUUAAAAUGUUUUAUCUCUUAAAUGAAAAAUCCGAUUGAAGAUUCGUUUUCAUCAUUAAAUCCCUCGCGACGAGAUCUACAAAACUAGAUCUCAUAUCGAUAUAUUUUGGUGAAUUUUUUUGGUCAAAAGUUGCCAUGUCUAUUGCACAUGAAUUUCCAUGAUAUUUACAUUGAAGUUGCCAUGAUAUGUUUCAACUAUUUUCUUUUACAUUAAAAUGUAAAUUUUAACAUAUUAUAAAACGGAGAAUUAAGAAAUUAGACUUGCCAUGCACCAUAAACUAAAAUUGCCAUGAUACAUGCACUUAAAAUUGUCAUGGUUCAAUAAAAAAAUAUUUUCAUGGUCAAAGUACUGGAAUUGCCAUCAUCAAAAAACUAAAAUUGCCAUGAUCUACAAACUAAAAUUGCCACAUGACAACUUUAGCUUAAGCACUUUGGCAACUAUAGUGUAAACAUCAUGGCAACUUCCGGGCAAAAAAAAAAUCAUCGAAACAUAUCAACAUGGGGUCUAGUUUUGAAGAUCUCGUCGAGACGGAUUUAAUGGUGAAAACGGAUUUUUAGUUUACUUUUUUAUUUAGGAGAUAAAACAUUUUUAAGCCGAAAACCAAAAAGAUUUCUGCUGAUGUCAUCUAUUUAUACGUGGCAAAAUGAGUGGUGAUGGAGGCGUGUGAGCGAUCUGCAAACGGCCACACGUGUGGGCGUUAGUUUUUCCGAAAAUCAAUACACUGUGGAUGCAUUGGCAGCAUUAGAUUGCAAAUAUGAUCGUAGCCAUUAAUAUUCUAAUCCCACAUUUUCAUGAUCUAAUUUCUAAAGGACUGGACAACAUGUUAUAGCCUUAUAUAGGGCUGAGCCACCAAAUCCACAUUUCUCUCGGUAUAAUUUCUAUAUGUUAAUCUGCAGCAUCUCCCGAUGAACCUAUUUUAGGAUAAGAAUUUUUUUAGAGCAUUUUUUGAUGUUUUUUUUUAUAAAAUCAAAUACAAUUCAGUGCAUUCCACAGUAGGUUUUCUGCCCCUAGCUAGUGGUAAAGAACAAGUUCAAUUCAGUCUUAUGAUGUUAUUAUUGAUGCCUUGUUCAAAUCAAAUGGACAAGCAUGUACUGUACUAAUCAGUGAUUUAUAUCUUAAUACCGAAAAUUUGUGCUGAUUUAUGAAUUUGUUGAUCCCGAGGUUCUGCUAAUCCGUGUACUAAUAUUUUUUUUGGGCAAUUUGGGUUAUUUUGGUCUCAUUAUGAGGACUGUGCUAAUAUGUGUUACAAAUAUGUUGUUGUGCCGACUAAUUUGUGCUAAUUCUGAAAAUAUGUGCGUCUAAUCGCCAAUAAUAUCAUGUGUAAAACCAAAAUGUCAUCGUUCUUGAGGACAUGAAAGCGCUGAUUCCAUGCUUUUCCUGCUGAUAUGCACUUUAGUAUAUGAAAAUGUACACUUACGUGGUGUUUAAAUUUUCAACUCACACUUAUAGAGACGUGCAGUGCACCAGCCAACUGGCGCAAGCUGUACAUUGACGGCAUACAGUUUCGGUCUUCCGGUCAACAUAAGUUAUCAUUCGUGCUAGUCCGUCUUUCUGUGACACGAUUAGCAUGACUUAAGAGGCACACCCAUCUACGUGCCAGUUGCCUGAAUCAGGAGGGCGAGGAAGCAGAAUUCAGUUGUGUAGCGCAACAGUGAUAUAUGUCUGCACUUUGCUAGCUGAAUAACUCUGUGCUCUAUGUGUACGUCACCUCAAGUACUCAUCAAGAAUUUACUCCUGCACGCGCUAUGCAGGUGGAGGAGAAGCAGUUCGCGUGGAAGUUCCGUGUCUCUGAUGUCUGAGAAGAAAGCUCUUACAGAGUUUUCGUCCGCUUGGUGGACUGGAGCGACAUCCAAGUUAAUUAUAGUGUCCAGUCAUCCCUAUAUUUCAGUGUUUCUUCUGUUUUGUACCAUCACAUUUCAUAUGUGCAUCGGAGGAAAUGUGCAUUCUACAUGAUGGAGAGGAUCAUGUCACACAGUCCCCAUUUACAAAGCCAUAGGCAGUGGCUGAAGAAUUUUUCUUCUAGUGUCACUGUUGUUCUAACUCUCUGUCUUCGAUUUUGGUGCUUCCGUAGUACGGUUGCAAAGCUAGGCUUCAUCUGAUUUUAGUUAGCUAAGCUGAUAAAGAGAAUUCCACAUGGCCCUUUAUUUCCAGCUUUCACUGUCUCACAAUAACAACACAUAUUAAGCUCACCAAACUAGAUCCAUACUCAUAACUUACCUUUCAUCAUUGAAUAACUGGAGAUUGCCAAGUUGUCUUUUAUCAUGUCAGUAUAUUAAGUAUUAUGUAUUUUCAUAUGAAGAAGAAAUAAUCAUCUGGGAUGUGGAGUUUCGGUGCUCGGGCGCAGCUGUACCCGAAAUCCCACUCGUUGGUUGUCGUCUGGGGAUUCCCAUAAUGUCCUCUGACAAGUCUGCAGCGAUGCGUUAGUAAUUCGGUAUACGGCGCGGCAGCGUAUGGUACAGUGCCUGGGCGCGGGCCCGAAUCGUAGGUGUGGCGAACGUCCCGUGUGCUUAUAAAGUUAUAAUUCUGGUCCGUUGACCAGAUAGUUUAGCUGUAGGCUGAGCCGUGGAGCAUGGGUUUGGCUCAGGAUCGCGUGUCUCGACGGCGUGUGUGACACACGAUCGUGGGGCCGCAGUUAUGGAGAGGCAGCUGCCGACAACUGAACCCCGCAAACCCUUCCUCUCGGCGGUUCUCGAAACCAGCCACCGCCGCGGGUCAGCUAUAAUCCAUCCCCAUUGCCAUUGAUGGCUGUUGCGGUAAGCGACGAUGGAGGACGCUGGCCUGGACUUCCUGCUGGACGCGGUCGACAGGUAAGAGAACUAUGCCCAAAUUCGAGAUCUAUCGUUUUUUUGGCGGCGAGGAGGAUACUGGUCGACACCUGAAUAUUUGGUGCUCCUCCACGUCUUGGACAUGUAUUUGCAGAUUUCCCCUCUGUAAAGACUUUGCAGAUUGCUUGGAGCACCCAGAUCCGGUUCCUCUGGCGCGGAUUGAUGCGCCGAGCGUUCAGCAGUCUGAAUCGAACGCUGGUUCCGGGUGCGGGCAGCUAGUUGGCGGCUGUAGCCAGGAGCGGCAAGCAGGCGAUGGGAGCCGUCGCCGUGAGACAUCUCCGGCGAGGUCCGCACAGUCAACAGACCAGUCCCGCAAGGGUGAACCCGGAGGCGCUGGGGUGGACAAAAAGGUUCUGUAACCAUUGCAUUCCGUCUGCUCUGAAUUUUUUCCUGGAGUGCAACUCCAUUUGUCCUAGUACGGAGUGUAGUUCACUGCCAUGAUAUCUGUAACAAACUGUGACAGACUGACAGUAAUUGUUUUUUGAUGAACGGUUGGCAGAUACCAGGCAUGCUGAAUGUUGUCUCCAGCAGGGGAUUAGUCACUCGAUUUUAGGCAUGUCAACAAAGGUGCAUGUAUAGGUACAGACAAGGAAAUGUUAUUCAGAGUUCGUAGAUUCAAAAAUCUAGAAACCCAUAAGAAGUGGAACUCUAGUUGACAAAAUAAGCAGGAGGCAUGAUUUUUGAAUUUCACGGCAGACCAUCAAUAGUACAUAGGAAAAAUGUAUUUCCUGUUUAAACUGUGUUUGCUUUCGUUCAGGUGUCAAUUUUUUUGAAUAAGUUGAAAGUUUGUUUCCAUGGUUAGUGUGAGCAUCCCCGUCAUCAGAAAACAUAUUUUGCAUCUGAUAUCCUGAACUGCUUUUGGCGCAUUUCAGGUUACUGAGACUUAUAAUUAUGUGUUGUUCGAGUACCAGCCCCGCCUUCCAGGCCCUGUCUCCUGUUGUGCACAACUUACCAAGCUUGCAUUUUGAUGUAAAAUCAGGUUGCGUCUUGACAGUGCGCCACCAGACAGAACCCCGCGUGCAUCAAGGAUGAGUGCUCUAGAGACGUCGUUUCGCAAGUUUGCCGAGGAACCAACGAAAAGUGUGGUUCGUCCUGAAUUAGGAUUAAAUUUUGAUUCACUUGGUGAGGCGUAUAACUUCUACAAUUUGUACUCAAGGGAGAUCGGUUUCGGGAUAAGAUAUGGGAAAAGCAUGUUGAACGCAGAGAUGGUGAAAUCAAUGCAGGAGAUUGUUGGGAGUAGUCUAGGAAACAUUCUUGCACAUUGGUUGGGUUUCGAGUUUUGUUGCAUUAUAUGGAAGUGUUGGGAGUAGUCUAGGAAACAUUCUUGCAGAUUGGUUGGGUUUCGAGGACCGUCAGGGAAACAUUCUUGCAGGGGGGCUGCCUGGGAAUGGUAAAGUUACGAUACUAGCAAAUGGUGGUGCUGACUGCGAAAUGGGCCCAACUCAGUCGGUCAGUGUGAAUGCCCUAGUAGGAUUAGCUCCACCAGAUAAACAACGAGGGGCUGGCAGGCCAACGAAUAGCUGAGAUAAAGCACCAUAUGAGGGUUUGAGCAGGCGAACACGGUUCUGCAGUAUUUGUAGGUGCGAAGGACACAAGAGGACAACCUACCCCGACCGGGGAGAUGCCGCGAAGAAACGGCGCAGACCAGGGAAGUGCAAAAAAUGUGGCAUGAAAGGACAUCGCCGGAACACGUGCACGUGACCAAUUGGUGGGGUGCAGAAUCAAAAUUGUUAAACUAAUUAGUUUUAAAUUCUGUACUUGCAGUAUGAGGAUUUUCCGGAUUUUCCGGUGUAUCUCAGUGAGAUGUGCUCCAACGCUUGUUCCUCCAGUUCUAGACAUGCAACUAACUUGUGUAAAGGAGAAGAACUUGGUUCGGCAUUGUUGAAUAUCUGUGGUGGAUACACAUUUUACGUUGCUGUGUGUGUUCUGAUCAGGAUUGCAAUGUUAUUUCUUUUCUGCUCACCAUGCGUGUCUGGGACUGAUGCGUUGUGUGUGUUUAUGCUCCAAGGGAUUCAAAAUUUGAAUCAUCUGUCGGAGUAGAUGAAGAAUCGUGAGGGGUUCAGGGGUGUCCUCCAACGCCCGCCCCACCCCCAUGAAGACAUGGCGAGCAGCUCAUUCCUUAGCAGGCAGCAGGCAAGGUUUGAAAAACCAGCACGGUGACCUGUGUUGAGUGGCGCCUACACCUGCAGGCGGGACGACGAGGAGCUCUGCCGGCGGUGGCGAGGGAGCAUGUAAGGAAGCACAGGUACGAGGUGUGGUUAAGUUUUUGUUUCGCUUGGUAACCUCUGCAUGCUUCGGCGUCUGUAUCUUCUGCAGCUGCCUGAAGCAAUUAGGACGAUGGCGUCAACCACUGGGGGAGCUAUGUGGUAUGCUGCAGGUGCCAUGGCCCCCCAGCCCAUGAAUAUUUUGUGAAGAAACACUGUUUAUGAUGACACAAAUUAAAAUAAAUACAGUGUUUAGCCCCUCUACACAAUUAUAUUUGGCUAUUUGCCCCCUCAGUAAUAUCUCGCUAGCUCCUCCGCCACUUGCGUCAACUGCAUGGAGCUGCACCGACCUGGGUGAUGGAGCUGCGGACGAUGUCGGCGAGGUGAGUAGGGGAACAACCUGUUUGUUAGUACUACGUAGCCUGGAGUGUAGGUAAGCACGUGGUGACGUGGACCAGUUACGACCAAGACGGCUGCUAACAAGUUUGAGACGGCUCAGCCAGGCACGGGAAAGAGAACUGAGCCGUGCGGAACCAGGUGUUCCGCUCGAUCGGGCCGGCUGCCAUCGCAAUUAAUGGAGUCACCUGCACCCCACAUUUAUGUAGAAAUACAGCCAAUAUACCCUGCAGUCGGGUGGCACAAAUCCCCAUGAGAUCGGACGAUGAUGAGUGCGGGAGCAGCUGAGGCUGAGCUCAGAAACCAAUUUUCGUAAUCAUCUGCCCGUAAUCAUCUGCACACUCUCAACCAACCUGAGAACAGCAUACAGAAUGAUGAUGUAUGUGGCGUCAUGGCAGCCGCACAUCGGAUAUAGGACGGGGUCAGGCAGCGCUAUUUUUUUCUAUUUACUCCCUUUACCGAACAGUACUCUCGGUAAACUACCUUGGCACGUAGCUACACCACCAUUUGCGUCGUCCCGUCUGAUCGCUUUUUUUUGCCGAGUGACCGUAUUUGAAACUCGGUAAAGACUUUGUCGAGUGUUCGACAAAUGGAUCUCGACAAAUUUCUGUUUGCUGAAAAGGGGUAUGCCGAGUGUCCUUUGCCGAGUGUUUUUGGCACCCACACUCUCAGGUUUUAUGGUUUCUACCUUAGGUUGCUUAUUUUGCAUUCUAUGAAGAACAAAUGUGGUAUAGUAUGAGAGCAUGAAAAGAGCAAAACAAAGUAAUGCGCAAACAAUAGCCCGCCCCCCUUCCCAGACACACACAAACACCCUGCUGCCAACAACUCCUUUUCCGUACCGAGCACAAUAAUUAUUGGAUUGAUGUAGCGAUUUUUUGCAACCACUCAAAGGACAUAAAAACAAGGAAAAAACUGGAAACAUAUUUAAAAUUAACUAGCUAGUGGUGUCCGUGAAGUUCAAGAAAAAGCUAGAUUUUUUCUCGACAACAAGUUAAUGUGCAAAGAAUUAAUAAAUGUAUUUGCAAAAAAAGAAAGCAAAUAGAAUUAACGAUUAAACCAGUUUAGGUUUUCACUGCAGACAAUGGUAGUAGUCGGAACCAGAUACAAACCAAUAAAAAACAGGAUCUCAAAUCUCCAACCAUUAAAGAGUUGUAUGUUAGUCCUAUCUUCUGUUCAACCCAAAUUUUACAAUAACACUAUUAUACUUAAAUCUUUAUUAUUGCAAUACAUAAAUAAGUAAUUAAUGCACCAGCUUGCGGUUGUAACCAGGCAAGAUGAACCUAUGAACUCGCAAGCAUGCCAAUCAGAUCGACAUCCACACAACACCGGUAUGAACAUUGUCUAGAUAAAACUUUAUUUGUAUUUUAUUCCAUAAUUUAAACUAGUUUGUGCGGGUCACACAUGACAUUGUGUGACACUUUAUUUGUCACCGCUACAUCGACAUAUCCAUCGACUAAGCAACGACAAUCCAACUAUAUAUUACUAGAGAUAUUUUCUUAUCAGUAGGCACCAACUCGGGUGCCAACGCCGAAUGGCACAAUAGUGGUGGUGCCGUACACCGGCACGUUGACACUGCACAUCGUUGGCAGGGUACGAAGUGCAAUGGAAGUCAUCACCUCAAGUUGAGCUAUUUGGUGUGGCUGCAACAAGGUACCCUGGGGUACCUGUUGUUGUUGAGGCCAUUGACCCAGUUGUUGUUGUUGAGGUUGUUGGAAAGAACACUGUCCGAGCUGCUUCUGUUGUUGUUGGGGUUGGGAGACACCUUGGACCGACUGUUGGGGUUGUUGCUGCUGAGGUUGGUUCAAACCCUGACCAUGUUGUUGUUCUUGUAGGACGAUCGAGUAGAUGAUGGCACGGAUUGCAUCGUAGCGUGAUUGUUCGGGGAUUUGCGGCAGCUGCCGGCAACAUUGUUGCUGCAUCAC
rnacentral:lncRNA from 1 species